AAUAAGCUAUUCCUGGUAUUUUUGUCUGCCGUGUGCAGGCAGGAUAAGGCCCAUAAUCCUUGGUUUGGAUGGAAGGGAGAAAGAAACUAGAAGAAAGCGUACAACACUCCCUAAGCCUCAGUGAAAACCCAAGGGUAUUGUGCAUCCAUUUGUGACUGUGUCUUUGAAAUCAUGUCUGAAUUACAGCUUUAUUAGGUGGUUACUGGAAGUAUACACAGUUCUGCAUUGGCUACUCCAGACUCUUUCAAGUGAACUCACAAAUAAACUCUAGUUUUA